rnacentral:rRNA from 1 species
GACAGAGGGUGCAAACGUUGCUCGGAAUUACUGGGCGUAAAGCGCGUGUAGGCGGGCCAACAAGUCGGACGUGAAAGCCCUGAGCUCAACUCAGGAACUGCAUCCGAAACUGUUGGCCUGGAGUGGUGGAGAGGGAAGCAGAAUUCCUGGUGUAGAGGUGAAAUUCGUAGAUAUCGGGAGGAAUACCAGUGGCGAAGGCGCUGACCUGGACGAAGAUUGACGCUGAGGUGCGAAAGCGCGGGGAGCAAACAGG